rnacentral:rRNA from 1 species
GAUGAACGCUGGCGGCAUGCCUAACACAUGCAAGUCGAUCGGUAAGGCUCUUCGGAGUACACGAGAGGCGGACGGCUGAGUAACGCGUAGGAACACACCCUGCAGUGAGGGAUAAGACACCGAAAGGUGUUCUAAUACCGCAUACGGUCUUCGGAUUAAAGCAUUUAUGCGCUGAAGGAGUGGCCUGCGUCAUAUUAGAUAGUUGGUGAGGUAAUGGCUCACCAAGUCGAUGAUGUGUAGCUGGUCUGAGAGGAUGAUCAGCCAGACUGGAACUGAGACACGGUCCAGACUCCUACGGGAGGCAGCAGUGAGGAAUAUUUCACAAUGAGCGAAAGCUUGAUGGAGCAAUGCCGCGUGCAGGAUGAAGGCCCUCGGGUUGUAAACUGCUUUUAUAAGAGAAGAUUAUGACGGUAACUUAUGAAUAAGGGACGGCUAAUUACGUG